GACAGAGGGUGCAAACGUUGUUCGGAAUUACUGGGCGUAAAGCGUGUGUAGGCGGCUACGUAAGUCGGAUGUGAAAGCCCCAGGCUCAACCUGGGAAGUGCACUCGAUACUGCGUAGCUUGAGUAUCGGAGAGGUUGGUGGAAGUUCUCGGUGUAGAGGUGAAAUUCGUAGAUAUCGAGAGGAACACCGGUGGCGAAGGCGGCCAACUGGACGAAUACUGACGCUGAGACACGAAAGCGUGGGGAGCAAACAGG
rnacentral:rRNA from 1 species